GAUGAAGAACGUAGCGAAAUGCGAUACGUAAUGUGAAUUGCAAAUUCAGUGAAUCAUCGAGUCUUUGAACGCACAUUGCGCCCCCUGGUAUUCCGGGGGGCAUGCCUGUCCGAGCGUCAUUGCUGCCCUCAAGCACGGCUUGUGUGUUGGGCCCCGUCCUCCGAUCCCGGGGGACGGGCCCGAAAGGCAGCGGCGGCACCGCGUCCGGUCCUCGAGCGUAUGGGGCUUUGUCACCCGCUCUGUAGGCCCGGCCGGCGCUUGCCGAUCAACCCAAAUUUUUUAUCCAGGUUGACCUCGGAUCAGGUAGGGAUACCCGCUGAACUUAAGCAAAUCAAUAAGCGGAGGA
rnacentral:misc_RNA from 1 species